GACGAACGCUGGCGGCGUGCUUAACACAUGCAAGUGGAGCGACGAACCGGGGCUUGCCCCGGGGCAGAGCCGCGAACGGGUGAGUAACACGUGGGUAACCCACCCCGAUGACCGGGACAACCCGAGGAAACUCGGGCUAAUACCGGAUGUGCUCCUUGACCAUGAGGUCAAGGCGUAAAGAUAGCUUCGGCCUUCGCAUCGGGACGGGCCCGCGGCCCAUUAGCGUGUUGGUGGGGUAACGGCCUACCAAGGCGACGAUGGGUAGCUGGUCUGAGAGGACGGUCAGCCACACUGGGACUGAGACACGGCCCAGACUCCUACGGGAGUCAGCAGUGGGGAAUCUUGCGCAAUGCGCGAAAGCGUGACGCAGCAACGCCGCGUGGGGGAAGAAGGCCUUCGGGUUGUAAACCCCUUUCAGUUGGGACGAAGCUUCGCCGGUGAAUAGCCGGCUGGAGUGACGGUACCUUCACAAGAAGCCCCGGCUAACUACGUGCCAGCCGCCGCGGUAAGAC
rnacentral:rRNA from 1 species